GGGAGCAAAACAGGAUUAGAAUAACCCUGGGUAGUCCACGCCCGUAAAACGAAUGAGUGCUAAAGUGUUUAGAAGGGGUUUUCCGCCCCUUUAAGUGGCUGAAAGUUAAACGCAUUAAAGCCACUCCCGCCUGGGGAGUACGGGCCGGCAAAGGCUGAAAACUCAAAAGGAAUUGACGGGGGGCCCCGCACAAGCGGUGGAGCAUGUGGUUUAAUUCGAAAGCAACGCGAAGAACCUUACCAGGUCUUGACAUCCUCUGAAAACCCUAGAGAUAGGGCUUCUCCUUCGGGAGCAGAGUGACAGGUGGUGCAUGGUUGUCGUCAGCUCGUGUCGUGAGAUGUUGGGUUAAGUCCCGCAACGAGCGCAACCCUUGAUCUUUAGUUGCCAUCAUUAAGUUGGGCACUCUAAGGUGACUGCCGGUGACAAACCGGAGGAAGGUGGGGAUGACGUCAAAUCAUCAUGCCCCUUAUGACCUGGGCUACACACGUGCUACAAUGGACGGUACAAAGAGCUGCAAGACCGCGAGGUGGAGCUAAUCUCAUAAAACCGUUCUCAGUUCGGAUUGUAGGCUGCAACUCGCCUACAUGAAGCUGGAAUCGCUAGUAAUCGCGGAUCAGCAUGCCGCGGUGAAUACGUUCCCGGGCCUUGUACACACCGCCCGUCACACCACGAGAGUUUGUAAC
rnacentral:rRNA from 1 species